GACUGCUCCAGUGGCCUAAGCUGGUAGAGCAUCUGCUUUGGAUGCAGGAGGUCAUGGGUUGGAAUCCCAGCUGAGUCA